AGGUGCGGAACGCGUACGCAAUUUACCCUUGUCUGGAGCAUAGCCCGGAGAAAUCCGGAUUAACGCGCAUAGGAUAUUGGCAUCUAAAAAUUUGGACAAGGAUGAGCGUGCGUCCCAUUAGCUAGUUGGUAGGGUAACGGCCUACCAAGGCAACGAUGGGUAGCUGGUGUGAGAGCACGACCAGCCACACGGGGCCUGAGACACGGGUCCGACUCCUACGGGAGGCAGCAGUGAGGAAUAUUGGUCAAUGGGCGCAAGCCUGAACCAGCCAUGCCGCGUGAAGGAUGAAGGCCUUCGGGUUGUAAACUUCUUUUAUGUGGGAAGAAUGACGGUACCAUAGGAAUAAGCACCGGCUAACUCCGUGCCAGCAGCCGCGGUAAUACGGAGGGUGCAAGCGUUAUCCGGAUUUACUGGGUUUCAAGGGUGUGUAGGCGGGCACUUAAGUAAGUGGUGAAAUCUCCGGGCUCAAACCGGAAACUGCCAUUGAUAC
rnacentral:rRNA from 1 species